GAUGAAGAACGUAGCGAAAUGCGAUAAGUAGUGUGAAUUGCAGAAUUCAGUGAAUCAUCGAAUCUUUGAACGCACAUUGCGCCCCUUGGUAUCCCGAGGGGCAUGCCUGUUCGAGCGUCAUUUCACCACUCAAGCCUGGCUUGGUGUUGGGCGACGUCCCCUUUGGGGACGCGCCUCGAAACGCUCGGCGGCGUGGCACCGGCUUUAAGCGUAGCAGAAUCUAUCGCUUUGGAAGUCGGGGCCCCGUCUGCCGGAAGACCUACUCGCAAGGUUGACCUCGGAUCAGGCAGGGAUACCCGCUGAACUUAAGCAUAUCAAUAAGCGGAGGA
rnacentral:misc_RNA from 1 species